rnacentral:rRNA from 1 species
UGGGGAAUUUUGGACAAUGGGCGCAAGCCUGAUCCAGCCAUGCCGCGUGCGGGAAGAAGGCCUUCGGGUUGUAAACCGCUUUUGUCAGGGAAGAAAAGGUUCUGGCUAAUACCUGGGACUCAUGACGGUACCUGAAGAAUAAGCACCGGCUAACUACGUGCCAGCAGCCGCGGUAAUACGUAGGGUGCAAGCGUUAAUCGGAAUUACUGGGCGUAAAGCGUGCGCAGGCGGUUAUGCAAGACAGAGGUGAAAUCCCCGGCGUCACCUAGGCAACUGGCCAUUGUGCAUCUGCAUAGCUAGAGUGCGGCAGAGGGGGGAUGGAAUUCCGCGUGUAGCAGUGAAAUGCGUUAGAUAUGCGGAGGAACACCGAUGGCGAAGGC